GACGAACGCUGGCGGCGUGCUUAACACAUGCAAGUCGAACGGAAAGGCCCUGCUUUUGUGGGGUGCUCGAGUGGCGAACGGGUGAGUAACACGUGAGUAACCUGCCCCUGACUUUGGGAUAACUUCAGGAAACUGGGGCUAAUACCGGAUAGGAGCUCCUGCUGCAUGGUGGGGGUUGGAAAGUUUCGGCGGUUGUGGAUGGACUCGCGGCUUAUCAGCUUGUUGGUGGGGUAGUGGCUUACCAAGGCUUUGACGGGUAGCCGGCCUGAGAGGGUGACCGGCCACAUUGGGACUGAGAUACGGCCCAGACUCCUACGGGAGGCAGCAGUGGGGAAUAUUGCACAAUGGGCGGAAGCCUGAUGCAGCAACGCCGCGUGCGGGAUGACGGCCUUCGGGUUGUAAACCGCUUUCGCCUGUGACGAAGCGUGAGUGACGGUAAUGGGUAAAGAAGCACCGGCUAACUACGUG
rnacentral:rRNA from 1 species